GACGAACGCUGGCGGCGUGCCUAAUACAUGCAAGUCGAACGAGAGCGACCGGUGCUUGCACUGGUCGAUCUAGUGGCGAACGGGUGAGUAACACGUGGGUAACCUGCCCAUCAGAGGGGGAUAACAUUCGGAAACGGAUGCUAAAACCGCAUAGGUCUUCGAACCGCAUGGUUUGAAGAGGAAAAGAGGCGCAAGCUUCUGCUGAUGGAUGGACCCGCGGUGCAUUAGCUAGUUGGUGAGGUAACGGCUCACCAAGGCCGUGAUGCAUAGCCGACCUGAGAGGGUGAUCGGCCACAUUGGGACUGAGACACGGCCCAAACUCCUACGGGAGGCAGCAGUAGGGAAUCUUCCGCAAUGGACGCAAGUCUGACGGAGCAACGCCGCGUGAGUGAAGAAGGUUUUCGGAUCGUAAAACUCUGUUGUUAGAGAAGAACAAGUGCUAGAGUAACUGUUAGCGCCUUGACGGUAUCUAACCAGAAAGCCACGGCUAACUACGUG
rnacentral:rRNA from 1 species